AUCUCACACACUUCCUUCAAAUCACCUCUUCGAUCCAUCAAUCAUUCCCUUCUUCUCAACCCUACUGUGCUGCAGCGUCCAUCCCCACUAUUUAUCAGCUCCAAAUGGGAAAUUGAAAUUGAAUAUAGAAAAAAACUGAUGUGCUGAUAAAGACAGUAUUGGAAAAGGUCCUAUUACAUUGAGUAAUCAUUAGCACCUUCAAGAAGGAUAAAGAAGGAAUCUAGGAGACAAGAAUUCGGAGAAACCCAAAUAUGCAAAAAUAUGCAAAGAUGACAGCUAUAACAACUGUCAAAGAACAGCUCAUCAGAUACAGUGGGACGGGACAUUAUUUUGGAGACUUCUGAAAGCUUUAAUUCUGUUGGUCCUGAUGUUUUUGUGUGAGCUGAUAUUGCAUCAUGGGCUUUUGUUUUUCUGAUAGUAGUACCGUCUUUUCUGCGUUCUGUUAGUUCAUAUUCUUAAGUAUUGACAAUGGUUAUUUAUAAAUAAAGUUUUAAAUUUUACCAAAGUUAAGUGUAGAAGUCCUUCAGGAUAAAACUUAACAUGUUUAUAUGUAGUUAUAAAAGCUUGCUAUAUCAUAUAUUUUGUGUAAGUAGUUGUUAGCCUUGUUUGUAUUAUAUGACUUAAUGCAUAUUAUAUUACAUUUCCUUCAAAAGAAAAUAUUCUGUGAACUAUUGGUGAACUGAUUUUAUACUAUUAUACAAUUACAAAAUAUCACAUAUAGGUAAGUUGGUUGAGUUUUAUACUAAUUAGCUCAUAAUCUAUAUUUACCAUAAUUUCUAAUUAUAGUUGAUCAACUUGUGUGUACCUUGUAAAAAUUUUGAAUGCUCACAAAACUAAAAAACUAAACACUUUUGUAUUGUGCUGAUGUAUCAAACUGUUGUUCU